GAUGAACGCUGGCGGCGCGCCUAACACAUGCAAGUCGAACGAUUAAAGCACCUUCGGGUGUGUAUAAAGUGGCGAACGGCUGAGUAACACGUGGGCAACCUGCCCCUCUCAUUGGGAUAGCCGCGGGAAACCGUGGAUAAUACCGAAUACUUCGGGACUUCCGCAUGGAAGACUCGAGAAAGCUCCGGCGGAGAGGGAUGGGCCCGCGGCCUGUUAGCUUGUUGGUGGGGUAAUGGCCUACCAAGGCAAUGAUGGGUAGCUGGGUUGAGAGACCGACCAGCCAGAUUGGGACUGAGACACGGCCCAGACUCCUACGGGAGGCAGCAGUGGGGAAUCUUGCACAAUGGGCGAAAGCCUGAUGCAGCGACGCCGCGUGCGGGAUGAAGGCCUUCGGGUUGUAAACCGCUUUCAGCAGGGACGAGGCGAAAGUGACGGUACCUGCAGAAGAAGCCCCGGCUAACUACGUG
rnacentral:rRNA from 1 species